rnacentral:rRNA from 1 species
ACAAGCGGUGAGCAUGUGGUUAAUUCGAAGCAACGCGAAGAACCUUACCAGGCCUUGACAUGCAGAGAACUUUCCAGAGAUGGAUUUGGUGCCUUCGGGAACUCUGACACAGGUGCUGCAUGGCUGUCGUCAGCUCGUGUCGUGAGAUGUUGGGUUAAGUCCCGUAACGAGCGCAACCCUUGUCCUUAGUUACCAGCACGUUAUGGUGGGCACUCUAAGGAGACUGCCGGUGACAAACCGGAGGAAGGUAGGGAUGACGUCAAGUCAUCAUGGCCCUUACGGCCUGGGCUACACACGUGCUACAAUGGUCGGUACAAAGGGCAGCUACCUGGUGACAGGAUGCUAAUCUCAAAAGCCGGUCUCAGUUCGGAUCGGAGUCUGCAACUCGACUCCGUGAAGCUGGAUUCGCUAGUAAUCGCGCAUCAGCCACGGCGCGGUGAAUACGUUCCCGGGCCUU